rnacentral:tRNA from 1 species
GCGAGCGUAAUUUAACAGCAGAAUGCCUGUCUUCCAAACAGGUCGUGCGAGUGCAAUUCUCGCCGUUCGCA